rnacentral:rRNA from 1 species
UUAAUUGAAGAGUUUGAUCAUGGCUCAGAUUGAACGCUGGCGGCAGGCUUAACACAUGCAAGUCGAGCGGUAGCACGGGGGAGCUUGCUCCCUGGGUGACGAGCGGCGGACGGGUGAGUAAUGUCUGGGAAACUGCCUGAUGGAGGGGGAUAACUACUGGAAACGGUAGCUAAUACCGCAUAACGUCGCAAGACCAAAGAGGGGGACCUUCGGGC